GGAGCAGCAGCAGUUGCUAUCCAACUCAAAACGUAUUAUUGCAAGUGUAUAAUAAAAAGCUGAAUUCUUGGCAACGCCAGGCAAAACAUUCCCAGUCUCUAGGAGUUCGGUGGCUGAAAUGAGCAACCUGGCUCUGCAUUUCUCCUUCUGCAAGAACCAACUUGGAGGAGCAUCUGCAAGAACAGCUUUCUAUCACAAGAUGGGGAAAUUGUAGCAGAAAUGAGUGAAUCACAAAGGAGAAGCACAGGACUAGCAGGAGUAAUGAGAUCCUAGAGGCAUGUGAAGGUUUUCAGAAGUCAUCAGUGGACAAGGUGUGCAGAUGUGGCCCUGCUGGGGUAAGAAGUAUCUUGUCUGUGUGAAUGGCUUCCAAACUCCAUUUUCCACUGCCACAUCAAGUUGUGUCUCCAAUGCCUUCCUUGGUGGCUACUUCAUUUUCUACAGUCAACAACACAUCUUCCACUGGAUCUGUGACUCUGUAUCUACCUAUACGUUAAAAUAAAGAAUCUGACCUAGGGCAGAAGGGCAGAAAUGAUGGUUGGAAGGGAGGCAUCAGUGGUACACAAGGUACAGCAGAAAAGACUUGUUGAGCUGCAGAGGAACAGAAAAAGCCUUCCUUCCAAUUACCGGCCUCAGCAAAUGAUCCAGCUGGCACCCAGCAUCAAGGUAUUAAUUGAUAACCCUUGGAUUCAAUAUCCCACAGUGUGAUUCUUAUGAAAAGGCAUUUACUGUGAGCAGAAAGGGACCUCCAUCAGUGUGACUCCUGCUAGCAGCCCAUCAAAGCAUUGCAGAAUUGUAGGGGUUGGAAGGGAGCUCUGUUGAUCAGAGUCCAACUGCCCUGCUAAAGCAUGUUCCUACAGUAGGUCACACAGGCAAAUAUCCAUAUGAUCUGGGUUAUGUCCAGAGAAAGAGACUCCACAGCCCCACUGGGCAGUAUGUUCCAGUGCUGUCAGUGACCUCAGUCCUCUAUUCUCCAUCUCAAUGACUGACAGAGGAGGCAGAAUGUCUACCUGGGAGAAUCCUGACUAAUGGGAUGUUCAACCUGGAGAGCACUGUCAGUAUUUUUGAUAGUGUUUAUUUAUUUGCUGGUGUUUCAGUUGGCGGUCAGGAGCUCCAGGCUGGGGCCUCUGCCCAGCAACAAGAGAACAGAAAGGAAAUGUCAACUUAUCACAGAAUUUACAAUGUCCUUCAAAUCAAAAGACAAACCUUCAACAUGAGCUAACAAUAAGUUUUUAUAUGAAAGUCAUUUUGGGGGGUAAUUCUCAGAAAAUAAAUCAGAGUGUGAGUUGCUUGAAUUUCUCUGAUUCUUGGGAAAAUUUGCCAUUGUUCUAUACCCUUCCCUUUUCACUUCCCACUUUUCUACUCCACAGCUUUGUCAUGGCACUUUUUACUCAGCAUUUCUCAGUUCAGCAUGGGUGUGAUGGAAGCGUCAAACAGUACCAUGACCUCGUCCUCCAGAAGACUGCUGGCUGGGUGUGUGGAUGUGCAUGGCCUGAAGAGCAGAAUCACCACAGUGAGGUGGGACCUAUAGGUGGAGAAGGUCUUGUGCCCUUCUUCGGAUGUUUGAUUUCUCAAGGCAGCCAGGGUGGUAAUGUAAGACACAACCAGGAUGAAGAGACGGCAUGGAGCUAUCACUCUGCUGUUGACAACAGUGAUGCUCAUGGUGCAGGUGCCAGCACAGGCCAGUUGUAGAAGGGGUUGGCCAUCACAGAAGUAGUGGUCAGCUUUGUUGGAACCACAGAAGGGGAACUGAGUGGUUAUAAGAGUCUGCAUGCUGGAGUGCACCAAGCCUCCUACCCGUGAACCGAUCACCACGCAGCCACACGCACUUCCAGUCAUGAGGGUGGUGCAGAGGGAAGAUCUGCAGUUGGCCAUGCAGCAACCACAAGCCAUCACUGUGAGGAUGAAGAUCUCCAUGCAAAGAAGUCUCAAACCUUUGUACCUCAAACAGCUGCGCUCUGCAGCCCACAGUGGCAUUAGUUUUAUUUUCAACAAGGAAGCUGGCAGUCAUUCUGGGAAAGGACAAACAGCAGGGGAAGAAAUACACGUGAAAAUUCAGAUGUUGACUGCUAAUCACAGUGAUAAUAGUAUUUCCUACCACAUUGGUUGCAUAGAAGAAAAGGAAAAUCACAGAGUAUGCUUUCUGCAUGAUUUGAUUCUCUGAGAGGCCCAUAGGAAUGGAUUCCUUUGCACUGCUUGCAUUCCCCAUGUUAAUCAGUUGGGUAGCCACAUGCAACACACAGCCUAUGCACAUAGAAUAAUAAAGAUACUGAUUCAUCACUGAUGUCAUUAUUAACGAUGAAUUCUAUACCAGAAGUGCACGCAGGCUGUAAAGUACAUAGGAUUGCUACUAAGCUACAAAGUGAUUGCUUUCCAAUUCUUUUUUUUUUUCUAGGAAUUUAAUCUGCCUUGAAGGAAACUUAAUUGAGAGUAACUGUAAGUGUAUUGAGACAGGAGUGCUCUGUGCUCCCUUUCUCCACCCUGACCCUCCAGGAUUUUGAAGGACUGUCUCUAUGGUUGUUGUGCUAAGGCAAGGCCAGUGUGUUCACCUCAGUCACAACCAGGGUACAGAGUGGAUCAUGCAGGAUACCUCCCUUCACCUUAGACCAAGUCCAUGAAUACAGUACUUGCAAAAAUAGUGUCUUCAGGAGUACCUGGAAACAUUACUUGGAAUGUUGAUAUAUUUUAUAGUUACAAAUAAUCUUUGAAUUGAUGUUUAGAGGGGAAAUGAAGCUACGCCAGGGAAAAAAAAAAUCUCUCUUAUGCAUAUACAUAUUGAAAAAAAUUGUGAUGCCAUGGGCUAAUAAAUGAUAUCAGGGAAGUUGUAUGCCAUGGAGAAAACAGCAAGCAAUGUAUUUAGUCAUGUAUGACUUCAGUGUUUAUCUUGUCUUAAAUCUCAGCAGGGCUAGUUGGUGAGAAAGGAAGAAUGAAAGGAUCAUUUCAAAUAGUCUGUUCCAGCACAGUAUGAAUCAUUACUGAUUUCUUAUGCACUCUGGGGGGAUAUUACACAUGUUCGCAUCUGCUGGAUGAAACU
rnacentral:lncRNA from 7 species